GAGGCCUUCCUGCAGGCCCUGCCCCUGUGCUGGGUGCCAGGAGAGCAGGCCACAGUGCUAAGAAACCUCGGGAUGGCCCACAAUGCCCUCGGCAACUAUCAGGAAGCUCGGGAGUUUCACCAGAAGGCUGCUGACCUACACGGCUCUGUGGGGCAGCGGUGGGAGCAGGGCCGGAGCUUUGGCAGCCUGGCCUUUGCAUUGAGCCAGCUGGGGGACCACAAGGCUGCCAGAGACAACUACCUGCAUGCCCUGCAGGCUGCCCGGGACUCUGACUUCGGCUCCGGGAAGACUCCAGGCUCCAGGUGGGGCCAGCCAGGCGGAGGGGACCCCAGCAAAGGCAGGAAGCAGCACAGCAGGUGUCCAGCACAGAUCUUCCAGUGGGUGGGAAGAUGAAGAGUUUGAGGAGGGCCACCAGAAGAAAAAAGAGGAGAGGUCGGCAAACGUUCCGGUGAGGGCUGGGCCGGGAAGACCA
rnacentral:misc_RNA from 1 species